UGAUAUAAGGCAGACAGGAAACGAUAGAAGUAAAUCAUGGCUGUAAGGGCAAUCUUGUGACAACUGUCACCUCAUCGAUCACCCUGGUUGAUUGGCAGAUGGAGCUGUGUGUUCAGUUGAGGAGCAUGAUCUUCACAGACAGAAGAGGACUAUUCUUCAGUCAAGAGUAUAUAGGCAGAUGAACUUCCCCACUAGAACCUCCAAACAAAUUUUCAUGAGCGAACCAAUAAUAGCACAGUAAGAUUUUGUUGGAUGGAAUGUCUUUCAACUGUCAAACUCCCUCAAGACCCAAUGCAUAU
ensembl:misc_RNA 7SK 7SK RNA